GACGAACACGUCUUGUCUUUUCGACUCUGUUCUCAUUGCAACAAACACAGGAAAGGAGAAGAAAGGGACACAGCCCCCGGGCUCACUUGUGAGGGUUAAAAGAAAAGGAGAGUGCUGUAAAAACAAGGCAUGCGUGUUCUAAAGCUUCAGUGGGAAAUUCUCGAAUAAUCUGAAGUGAGGCACUUAGGUUACUACAGGAAAUGGAUGGAAAAGGCCAUUAAGCAUUGCUGUCAUCUAAGUAUCAUUUUCAUAUUACUUGAGAAAUGCAGGUACAAAUUUGCUGAUUUUCAAAUUGCAUUUGGGUUGUGAAACUGUUUCCUUAAUAGUCACUAGACCAUUUGGAUCAUGGCUUCAAUAUGUUUAUAAUUUGGGGGGACACAUGGUUUGGCCCUCAGCUGAAUCCCAGAAAAAAAUCCCUCUAGACUUGAAUCACUUGUCCGUUUUUUCCGUUUUUAUCAGACAGUUGGAACUGGGGUGCAAAAGAAUAGAGGAUUGUGAGGGUGGAGCCAAGAAGGGAGAAUAUCAUCGGGAUGGAAGAGAUGUCAUAGAGACAGCGCUAAUGUCAGACGUGAAGAUUGUGGAAACAUGUGCUUUUUGGACGGGUGUACCAGCCAGAGAACUAUACUCUGACAGUGCUCUAGUCCUGGAGUUCCUGAGCACAUCAUCACUGCAGAGAACAGAACCAAGUGCCUUAUAAAAAACAAGAUCCUCAAUGUGCCACAAAGAAUUGCCCUCAGGUUAGCUGGCAUUGGUUCAUGUCAGCUACAAGGUACUUUUCUUUCUUUCCAAUUUACAUUAUCCCACAAAGACAAAAAAAUUUUUUUUCUUACUGAAUAAACUUUUGACUUUACUAUGAUUCA
rnacentral:lncRNA from 1 species